UUACGUCUUCAGGGCGGGGUGCAAUUCCCCACCGGCGGUAUGUGGCCGGCGCCAAUGGCGCAUUGUCACGAGCCCGCGAGCGCCCACGCUCUCCGCGUGGGGUCAGCAGAUCUGGUGAGAGGCCAGGGCCGACGGUUAAAGUCCGGAUGAAAGAAGAUGGGC
rnacentral:ncRNA from 2 species